rnacentral:piRNA from 1 species
UUGGAAAUGAUGCAUGUGGUAUGAGG